rnacentral:rRNA from 1 species
UCCCUUAAAGCUACUCUCAGUUCGGAUUGUAGGCUGAAACUCGCCUACAUGAAGCUGGCGUUACUAGUAAUCGCAGAUCAGAAUGCUGCGGUGAAUGCGUUCCCGGGUCUUGUACACACCGCCCGUCACACCACGGGAGUUGGAGACGCCCGAAGCCGAUUAUCUAACCUUUUGGAAGAAGUCGGCGAAGGUGGAAUCAAUAACUGGGGUGAAGUCGUAACAAGGUAGCCGUAUCGGAAGGUGCGGCUGGAUCACCUCCUUUCUAAGGAGA